rnacentral:rRNA from 1 species
AAUCAACGCUGGCGGCGUGCCUAACACACGCAAGUCGAACGCGAAAGCGUCUUCGGACGUGAGUAGAGUGGCGUCCGGGUGAGUAACACGUAGGUAAUCUACCUUCGGGUGGGGAAUAACGCCUCGAAAGAGGCGCUAAUACCGCAUAACGCAGCGGCAGCUAAUGCUGAUUAGUUGUUAAAGCGGGGGACCGAGCGAUCGGCCUCGCGCCUGAAGAGGAGCCUGCGGCAGAUUAGCUAGUUGGCGGGGUAACGGCCACCAAGGCGACGAUCUGUAGCUGGUCUGAGAGGACGGCCAGCCACACUGGCACUGACACACGGGCCAGACUCC